UUUUUUUUUUUUUUUUUUUGAGGGGAACACGAAACACUAGUUAUAUUCUAACAGGUUGUGCAUGUCAAAUAAUGUUACAGCAUUCAUGCCUGCUAAAUGAUCAUGGGCCAAUGCAAUAAUGAAGUCUACACUCUACACCAAACAUUAUUUCAUUUUCAAAUGGACCGCACUUGCCUAUGAGUAUUUGGACAAGCAUGAAGAGACAAAGGACACCACAACAAUGCCUAACAAAUUGUGCCAAGAUAAAUUUAGUCAGGAUCAACAAGGAAGCCAAAGACUAGUUGAGUACUAAUUUAAGUAAUCUGGCAAAAAAAGCAAUGUCAAAUCCCAACUAGCACAUAGGCGUAGCAUAUCAUUAGCAAAGUUAACUUCCCAUUCAUCUGUAACAAUAACACCCCCCACCAACCCCCCUCUAAAAAAAAAAAAA
rnacentral:misc_RNA from 1 species